GAUGAACGCUAGCGGCAGGCUUAACACAUGCAAGUCGAGGGGUAUAUGCCUUCGGGCAUAGAGACCGGCGCACGGGUGCGUAACGCGUAUGCAAUCUGCCUUCCACAAAGGAAUAGCCCAGAGUAAUUAGGAUUAAUCCCCUAUAUCAUCACGAGAUGGCAUCAUCAUGUGAUUAAAGAUUUAUCGGUGGAAGAUGAGCAUGAGUCCCAUUAGCUAGUUGGAGUGGUAACGGCACACCAAGGCGAGGAUGGGUAGGGGUCCUGAGAGGGAGAUCCCCCACACUGGUACUGAGACACGGACCAGACUCCUACGGGAGGCAGCAGUGAGGAAUAUUGGUCAAUGGGCGCAAGCCUGAACCAGCCAUGCCGCGUGCAGGAUGAAGCAUCUAUGGUGUGUAAACUGCUUUUAUACAGGAAGAAACACUCCCUCGUGAGGGAGCUUGACGGUACUGUAGGAAUAAGGAUCGGCUAACUCCGUGCCAGCCGCCGCCGUAA
rnacentral:rRNA from 1 species